rnacentral:rRNA from 1 species
AGAGUUUGAUCCUGGCUCAGGAUGAACGCUGGCUACAGGCUUAACACAUGCAAGUCGAGGGGAAACGACGGGGAAGCUUGCUUCCUUGGGCGUCGACCGGCGCACGGGUGAGUAACGCGUAUCCAACCUGCCUCUGACUGAGGGAUAACCCGUCGAAAGUCGGCCUAAUACCUCAUGGCAUCGUCUGCGGGCAUCCAACGACGAUUAAAGAUUUCAUCGGUCAGGGAUGGGGAUGCGUCUGAUUAGCUUGUUGGCGGGGUAACGGCCCACCAAGGCUACGAUCAGUAGGGGUUCUGAGAGGAAGGUCCCCCACAUUGGAACUGAGACACGGUCCAAACUCCUACGGGAGGCAGCAGUGAGGAAUAUUGGUCAAUGGGCGAGAGCCUGAACCAGCCAAGUAGCGUGCAGGAUGACGGCCCUAUGGGUUGUAAACUGCUUUUGUAUGGGGAUAAAGUUAGGGACGUGUCCCUAUUUGCAGGUACCAUACGAAUAAGGACCGGCUAAUUCCGUGCCAGCAGCCGCGGUAAUACGGAAGGUCCAGGCGUUAUCCGGAUUUAUUGGGUUUAAAGGGAGCGUAGGCUGGAGAUUAAGUGUGUUGUGAAAUGUAGACGCUCAACGUCUGAAUUGCAGCGCAUACUGGUUUCCUUGAGUACGCACAACGUUGGCGGAAUUCGUCGUGUAGCGGUGAAAUGCUUAGAUAUGACGAAGAACUCCGAUUGCGAAGGCAGCUGACGGGAGCGCAACUGACGCUUAAGCUCGAAGGUGCGGGUAUCGAACAGGAUUAGAUACCCUGGUAGUCCGCACAGUAAACGAUGGAUGCCCGCUGUUGGUACCUGGUAUCAGCGGCUAAGCGAAAGCAUUAAGCAUCCCACCUGGGGAGUACGCCGGCAACGGUGAAACUCAAAGGAAUUGACGGGGGCCCG